rfam:Oryza punctata chromosome 1, whole genome shotgun sequence.
GGGGAUAUGACGAUCAUUUCCCCAGAUGAUCGUCAAUGAACAUACUGUGCGCUAUUGUUUUCUCUUAGGAGAUAAUCAAGCCAGAACUCUGAUCCUC